GACGAACGCUGGCGGCGUGCUUAACACAUGCAAGUCGAACGGAAAGGCCCUUCGGGGUACUCGAGUGGCGAACGGGUGAGUAACACGUGGGUGAUCUGCCCUGCACUUUGGGAUAAGCCUGGGAAACUGGGUCUAAUACCGAAUAGGACCACGCGCUUCAUGGUGUGUGGUGGAAAGCUUUUGCGGUGUGGGAUGGGCCCGCGGCCUAUCAGCUUGUUGGUGGGGUAAUGGCCUACCAAGGCGACGACGGGUAGCCGGCCUGGGAGGGUGACCGGCCACACUGGGCCUGAGAUACGGCCCAGACUCCUACGGGAGGCAGCAGUGGGGAAUAUUGCACAGUGGGCGCAAGCCUGAUGCAGCGACGCCGCGUGAGGGAUGACGGCCUUCGGGUUGUAAACCUCUUUCAAUAGGGACGAAGCGAAAGUGACGGUACCUAUAGAAGAAGCACCGGCCAACUACGUG
rnacentral:rRNA from 1 species